UUCCAGACUCCUACGGGAGGCAGCAGUGGGGGAUAUUGCACAAUGGGGGGAACCCUGAUGCAGCGACGCCGCGUGGGUGAAGAAGCGCCUCGGCGCGUAAAGCCCUGUCAGCAGGGAAGAAAAUGACGGUACCUGACUAAGAAGCCCCGGCUAACUACGUGCCAGCAGCCGCGGUAAUACGUAGGGAGCGAGCGUUGUCCGGAAUUACUGGGUGUAAAGGGAGCGUAGGCGGGAUUGCAAGUUGGAUGUGAAAACUGCGGGCUCAACCCGGAGCGUGCAUUCAAAACUGCGAUUCUUGAGUGAAGGAGAGGCAAGCGGAAUUCCUAGUGUAGCGGUGAAAUGCGUAGAUAUUAGGAGGAACACCAGUGGCGAAGGCGGCUUGCUGGGCUUUUACUGACGCUGAGGCUCGAAAGUGUGGGGAGCAAACAGGAUUAGAUACCCCAGUA
rnacentral:rRNA from 1 species